UUUGUAUUCCCUUCGUCCCGAAAUUCUUGUCUUAGGUUCGUCUAAAAACAGAUGUAUGUAAAUACUAAGAUGUGACUAAAUACAUUCAUAUAUAGGUAAUUAUAAGAUAAGAAUUUGAAGACGGAGGGAGUAUGUA
rfam:Hordeum vulgare subsp. vulgare, WGS project CAJW01000000 data, contig: morex_contig_1647903